UGAGGAAUAUUGGUCAAUGGGCGAGAGCCUGAACCAGCCAAGUCGCGUGCAGGAUGACGGCCCUAUGGGUUGUAAACUGCUUUUAUAUGGGAAUAAAGUGAGGGACGUGUCCCUUAUUGCAUGUACCAUACGAAUAAGGACCGGCUAAUUCCGUGCCAGCAGCCGCGGUAAUACGGAAGGUCCAGGCGUUAUCCGGAUUUAUUGGGUUUAAAGGGAGCGUAGGCUGUUUGUUAAGCGUGUUGUGAAAUGUAGGAGCUCAACUUUUAGAUUGCAGCGCGAACUGGCAGACUUGAGUGCGCACAACGGAGGCGGAAUUCAUGGUGUAGCGGUGAAAUGCUUAGAUAUCAUGACGAACUCCGAUUGCGAAGGCAGCUUACGGGAGCGCAACUGACGCUAAAGCUCGAAGGUGCGGGUAUCGAACAGG
rnacentral:rRNA from 1 species